AUUGAACGCUGGCGGCAGGCCUAACACAUGCAAGUCGAGCGGAUGAAGGGAGCUUGCUCGUGGAUUCAGCGGCGGACGGGUGAGUAAUGCCUAGGAAUCUGCCUGGUAGUGGGGGAUAACGUCCGGAAACGGGCGCUAAUACCGCAUACGUCCUGAGGGAGAAAGUGGGGGAUCUUCGGACCUCACGCUAUCAGAUGAGCCUAGGUCGGAUUAGCUAGUUGGUGGGGUAAAGGCCUACCAAGGCGACGAUCCGUAACUGGUCUGAGAGGAUGAUCAGUCACACUGGAACUGAGACACGGUCCAGACUCCUACGGGAGGCAGCAGUGGGGAAUAUUGGACGAUGGGCGAAAGCCUGAUCCAGCCAUGCCGCGUGUGUGAAGAAGGUCUUCGGAUUGUAAAGCACUUUAAGUUGGGAGGAAGGGCAGUAAGUUAAUACCUUGCUGUUUUGACGUUACCAACAGAAUAAGCACCGGCUAACUUCGUG
rnacentral:rRNA from 1 species